GACGAACGCUGGCGGCGUGCUUAACACAUGCAAGUCGAGCGGAAAGGCCCUUCGGGGUACUCGAGCGGCGAACGGGUGAGUAACACGUGAGUAACCUGCCCCAGACUUUGGGAUAACCCUCGGAAACGGGGGCUAAUACCGGAUACGACACAGCUUCGCAUGGGGUCUGUGUGGAAAGUUUUUCGGUUUGGGAUGGGCUCGCGGCCUAUCAGCUUGUUGGUGGGGUGAUGGCCUACCAAGGCGACGACGGGUAGCCGGCCUGAGAGGGCGACCGGCCACACUGGGACUGAGACACGGCCCAGACUCCUACGGGAGGCAGCAGUGGGGAAUAUUGCACAAUGGGCGGAAGCCUGAUGCAGCGACGCCGCGUGCGGGAUGACGGCCUUCGGGUUGUAAACCUCUUUCAGCAGGGACGAAGCGUAAGUGACGGUACCUGCAGAAGAAGCGCCGGCCAACUACGUG
rnacentral:rRNA from 1 species